CCACAUCUAUUAUUUAAUUGCCGUCAGAUAGCUUCUCACCUCUAAAAAUAGAAAAUGUCCGUCUUUGAAAAUGUUUUUCUGAUCUAGUGCAUGUUUUUUGCUUUAUUACAUUAUAUAUGUUUUAGGAUUAUUCUUAUAUCUUUUGUUUUAGAGUAUAUAUAUAGUGAGUAGCACACGACAUACCCUCAUGGUGGUGUGAUGUACCGUAAUUACCGGAGGGUUUUACUUAAAUGGCUCUUGCAAUUAGCAUGAUACCUACACUGA
rnacentral:lncRNA from 1 species